UACGGGGGGAGCAAGCGUUGUUCGGAUUUACUGGGCGUAAAGGGCGCGUAGGCGGCGCAACAAGUCACUUGUGAAAUCUCCGGGCUUAACUCGGAGCGGCCAAGUGAUACUGUCGUGCUAGAGUGCGGAAGGGGCUACUGGAAUUCUUGGUGUAGCGGUAAAAUGCGUAGAUAUCAAGAGGAACACCUGCGGCGAAGGCGGGUUGCUGGGCUGACACUGACGCUGAGGCGCGAAAGCUAGGGGAGCGAACGGG
rnacentral:rRNA from 1 species